rnacentral:rRNA from 1 species
UACAGAGGUCCCGAGCGUUGUUCGGAUUCACUGGGCGUAAAGGGUGCGUAGGUGGCGUGGUAAGUUUGACGUGAAAUCCCAUGGCUUAACCAUGGAACUGCUCGGCAUACUGGCGAUCUUGAGCCACUUAGGGGCAACCGGAACAAAUGGUGGAGCGGUGAAAUGCGUAGAUAUCAUUUGGAACGCCAAUGGUGAAAACAGGUUGCUGGGAGUGUGCUGACGCUGAGACACGAAAGCCAGGGGAGCGAACGGG